rnacentral:piRNA from 1 species
UCCCACGAAGCACAACUAAAACCCUGGGC